GCCCUCUUCAACGCUGCGUUUCCAUGCUACAAACGGAGAAGGCACCUCGCGCAAGCCGGGUCUUCUCGAACCUCUUCGCAUGUGGGAAAUUCGGAGAAAGCUUCAUAGCAGGAGGCAACACUUCCGUGUUGGCCUUCCUGUGCUCGGCUUUCACGCCGCCUUCUCUUUUUCUUCGGGAGGGAGAAUGCGCCGUGAUUGUUCUGAGUCCGCCUGUGAUGGCCUGGCGUCACCCCGACGUCUGCAACAGACAUCAGAAAUCUUCAGGCCCGGGCGAGUAGAACGCCCCUCGUGGCGUUCUUUCUUCUGUCCCGGUGUCCUCUGGGAAGUCGUUGCGAAGCUUGUUGCGCAAAAACUUGAGUGCGAUAUGCAGCGUUCGUCUUUGCUUCGGCAAGAUGGAUCACACAAUUCCGAUCAUUCUGUUGAGGGC
rfam:Trichoderma reesei QM6a unplaced genomic scaffold TRIREscaffold_20, whole genome shotgun sequence.